rnacentral:rRNA from 1 species
CCCCCUCAAGAUAAGAUAUCCCAUAGCAAAAGCUAGUAAGACCCCUUGAAGACGACAAGGUAGAUAGGUUAGAGGUGGAAGUGUGGUAACACAUGCAGCUGACUAAUACUAAUAGGUCGAGGGCUUGUCCUUA